UUGCGGCGUGCCUAACACAUGCAAGUCGAGCGAUUUACUUCGGUAAAGAGCGGCGGACGGGUGAGUAACGCGUGGGUAACCUGCCCUGUACACACGGAUAACAUACCGAAAGGUAUGCUAAUACGAGAUAACAUGAGAAAGUCGCAUGGCUUUCUUAUCAAAGUUUUUGCGGUACAGGAUGGACCCGCGUCUGAUUAGCUAGUUGGUAAGGUAACGGCUUACCAAGGCGACGAUCAGUAGCCGACCUGAGAGGGUGAUCGGCCACAUUGGAACUGAGACACGGUCCAAACUCCUACGGGAGGCAGCAGUGGGGAAUAUUGCACAAUGGGCGAAAGCCUGAUGCAGCAACGCCGCGUGAGCGAUGAAGGCCUUCGGGUCGUAAAGCUCUGUCCUCAAGGAAGAUAAUGACGGUACUUGAGGAGGAAGCCCCGGCUAACUACGUGCCAGCAGCCGCGGUAAUACGUAGGGGGCUAGCGUUAUCCGGAAUUACUGGGCGUAAAGGGUGCGUAGGCGGUCUUUCAAGUCAGGAGUGAAAGGCUACGGCUCAACCGUAGUAAGCUCUUGAAACUGUAAGACUUGAGUGCAGGAGAGGAGAGUAGAAUUCCUAGUGUAGCGGUGAAAUGCGUAGAUAUUAGGAGGAAUACCAGUUGCGAAGGCGGCUCUCUGGACUGUAACUGACGCUGAGGCACGAAAGCGUGGGGAGCAAACAGGAUUAGAUACCCUGGUAGUCCACGCCGUAAACGAUGAGUACUAGCUGUCGGAGGUUACCCCCUUCGGUGGCGCAGCUAACGCAUUAAGUACUCCGCCUGGGAAGUACGCUCGCAAGAGUGAAACUCAAAGGAAUUGACGGGGACCCGCACAAGUAGCGGAGCAUGUGGUUUAAUUCGAAGCAACGCGAAGAACCUUACCUAAGCUUGACAUCCUUUUGACCGAUGCCUAAUCGCAUCUUUUCCUUCGGGGACAGAAGUGACAGGUGGUGCAUGGUUGUCGUCAGCUCGUGUCGUGAGAUGUUGGGUUAAGUCCCGCAACGAGCGCAACCCUUGCCUUUAGUUGCCAGCAUUAAGUUGGGCACUCUAGAGGGACUGCCAGGGAUAACCUGGAGGAAGGUGGGGAUGACGUCAAAUCAUCAUGCCCCUUAUGCUUAGGGCUACACACGUGCUACAAUGGGUGGUACAGAGGGCAGCCAAACCGUGAGGUGGAGCUAAUCCCUUAAAGCCAUUCUCAGUUCGGAUUGUAGGCUGAAACUCGCCUACAUGAAGCUGGAGUUACUAGUAAUCGCAGAUCAGAAUGCUGCGGUGAAUGCGUUCCCGGGUCUUGUACACACCGCCCGUCACACCACGGAAGUUGGGGGCGCCCGAAGCCGGAUAGCUAACCUUUUGGAAGCGUCCGUCGAAGGUGAAAUCAAUAACUGGG
rnacentral:rRNA from 1 species